GUUACGUGGGUGGUAUGCUGUCUCAUAACAGGUAAGGAGCUUGGCGAAUUGAUAUAUAACUGUAGUGCGGCCAAAAAACCUGCAUAUAUCUGAAGAAUAAUUAACAUUCUAAAUGGCCUAUCACAAUAAGAAAUUCAGCCAAAUAGUAUUAGUUUUAAACUAUGUUAUGUCAUCUUCUGAACAUUCAUGUGCUGCUUAUUAAACAUGUUAUAUUUAGGAUAAAGGAAGAAACAUAUGUACACAUUUACUACAGUUUUAUUUGAUGUUUUGAUUUGUCAGUAGUUAAGUAGAUCAUGUGUAUUUACUGUAAUUCAAAGUGUUUCUUCAAAAUGCCAUGCAAGAGUUUCAGUUGCAAAGAAGCGGCAUUUGAGUAGGAAACCACAGGGCAGAGUGGGUAGGCUGAGAUGAGCGUGUGAGUUUCCACCAUUAGGUUUACACCAACAAUGAAUCUCUGAGCUGAUGUAUGGUUAUAGUUUCCAGGUAAUAUUAAAUAAAUCUAUGUCAAAAUCAAAAUAUAUAAAUGUACUUAUAUUAUUAUCAGUACUAUUUAGGAAAAAGGAAGAAGCUACUUGUAGCUCAUAAGCCUGGUAAUAGUGUUUAAGCAAUCGAGAAACUAGCGAAAUUCCUUUAACAAAAUUUGAAUGCCAGUGCUUUCUAUAUGAGAAUGUUCAUAAUUUCUUCUCUCAAGUUGGUAACCCAUAUGCACCCCCCACAGGGAGCUACACAACAGCCUGCCCCCUCCAUAUCAGUGCCUCCCACACUACCCUCCAGUAGGCCCACCCACUGAUGUACUGUAGGCUAGACAGUGCAGACACCUUCAAAAGAAUGACAGUACUUGCAUCACCUACUUGUAUCACAGUACUUGCUAGGAUCUACUUAAAGUGCAGAUGAACAGCUAAACAAAGCCGCUGGAAAUUCAAGGAGCUUACAUCUAUAUUUCUCCAUAAACCAUAGAAGGAUGUAAUCAGAAGAUGCUUUUAAGGAAGGAAGACUUCUGAUUUUCAAGAUAUCAAAUUUUGGAUAAUAUUUCCUGACCUGAGAAAAAGGAUUCCCAGAAACUUUGAACACAGAAACUGUGAAUAUAGACGAUUUCUCUCGUGAUUCAACUUCUCAAAAUAUCAUUAUUAGAGUUCAAUUUAGAAGAGACAUUCUUUUUUUUCACUCAUAAUACACCUACAUAAACAUGACACACCUUGUGCAUGACGUACCAGAAAUCUUCUUGAGUCUGAUAAAAGUGAAAAACAUUUUUGUGCUCAUUGCUAUACUCUACUUGGUCAAGAGUUUAUUUGAACUGGACUUUGUAUGCUCAUGUGAACCUGAAAUAGCAAAGCAUGAAGUUGGAUUUAUACUCUUGCCUAUCCUCAUAAUAUGUCUAGUCGUUUAUCUAUUUGAAUCUAAUAUUCAAAAUGUAACUAAAUGUCAAUUUUGCAACGUGUUACUAUACAUAAUUAGUAUCGCCUGCACUGCAGCAUCAUUCUGGUUCAGCGCUGUCCUCUUAGAGGGAGAUUGGUGGUUGUGUGUUUUCACAAAGAAUGUGACUGAACACCAGAGGAUUUCCUGCAAGGAUCCACGUAACUUCACCACAGAGGAGAAAAUGAUUAAUGCACUCUAUAAAAAUGAUUCAUUUUUCUGGGGGUUGGUUGUCAUCACAGCAUCAUUACUUCUGUGGUGUUUCAUUCCUCGACUUGCUCGGUGCUGCA